rnacentral:lncRNA from 1 species
GGAUUCUCUCCUGGAAGCUCCAUGGCUUUGACUCACAUCCUCGUUUACUAGAAACCAAAUUUAAAAGAUACUCAGAAACAACAUUUUUCAGCCAGAGCUCUCUACAGAACAAUGAGGCAAUGGAGCUAGAAGUCACAGCUAAGAAGCAGACCACAAACCACCGAUGUCUAUGCAGUCUAUGAAACCGAGGGGAAAACAACUCUGUCCCGCUACAGCAUCAUUCUCCCCACAGAGGCCCCCAGUGAAGA